rnacentral:misc_RNA from 1 species
UCUCCGUUGGUGAACCAGCGGAGGGAUCAUUACCGAGUUUACAACUCCCAAACCCCUAUGUGAACGUUACCAAACUGUUGCCUCGGCGGGAAAUUCAUGCCCCGGGCGCGUCGCAGCCCCGGACCAAGGCGCCCGCCGGAGGACCAACCAAAACUCUUUUGUAUGUCCCUCGCGGACUUUUAUAAUUCUGAACCAUCUCGGCGCCCCUAGCGGGCGUUUCGAAAAUGAAUCAAAACUUUCAACAACGGAUCUCUUGGCUCUG